AGCCUGAUGCAGCGACGCCGCGUGAGGGAUGACGGCCUUCGGGUUGUAAACCUCUUUCAAUAGGGACGAAGCGCAAGUGACGGUACCUAUAGAAGAAGGACCGGCCAACUACGUGCCAGCAGCCGCGGUAAUACGUAGGGUCCGAGCGUUGUCCGGAAUUACUGGGCGUAAAGAGCUCGUAGGUGGUUUGUCGCGUUGUUCGUGAAAACUCACAGCUUAACUGUGGGCGUGCGGGCGAUACGGGCAGACUGGAGUACUGCAGGGGAGACUGGAAUUCCUGGUGUAGCGGUGGAAUGCGCAGAUAUCAGGAGGAACACCGGUGGCGAAGGCGGGUCUCUGGGCAGUAACUGACGCUGAGGAGCGAAAGCGUGGGGAGCGAACAGGAUUAGAUACCCUGGUAGUCCACGCCGUAAACGGUGGGUACUAGGUGUGGGUUUCCUUCCUUGGGAUCCGUGCCGUAGCUAACGCAUUAAGUACCCCGCCUGGGGAGUACGGCCGCAAGGCUAAAACUCAAA
rnacentral:rRNA from 1 species